GACGAACGCUGGCGGCGUGCCUAACACAUGCAAGUCGAACGAGGUCCAUCCUUCGGGAGAAGACCUAGUGGCGAACGGGUGAGUAACACGUGAGGAACCUGCCCCGAAGACCGGGAUAACCCUCCGAAAGGAGAGCUAAUACCGGAUACCCCCACCGAACCGCAUGGUUUGGUGAGGAAAUGGAUUCCGCUUCGGGAGGGCCUCGCGGCCUAUCAGCUAGUUGGUGGGGUAACGGCCCACCAAGGCAUCGACGGGUAGCUGGUCUGAGAGGACGAUCAGCCACACUGGGACUGAGACACGGCCCAGACUCCUACGGGAGGCAGCAGUGGGGAAUCUUGCGCAAUGGGCGAAAGCCUGACGCAGCAACGCCGCGUGGGGGAUGAAGGCUCUCGGGUUGUAAACCCCUUUCAGCAGGGACGAAUCAAGACGGUACCUGCAGAAGAAGCCCCGGCUAACUACGUGCCAGCAGCCGCGGUAAU
rnacentral:rRNA from 1 species